rnacentral:rRNA from 1 species
UACGUAGGUGGCGAGCGUUGUCCGGAUUUACUGGGCGUAAAGGGCGUGCAGGCGGUCUGCUAAGUUUGGGGUGAAAGCUCCCGGCUCAACUGGGAGAGGUCCUUGAAUACUGGCAGACUCGAGGGAGGUAGAGGAGAGUGGAAUUCCCGGUGUAGUGGUGAUGUGCGUAGAUAUCGGGAGGAACACCUGUGGCGAAGGCGGCUCUCUGGGCCUUACCUGACGCUGAGACGCGAAAGCGUGGGGAGCGAACCGG